UUUUCAGAUAUCUACAAUAUGCUACACUUCAAAGAUCCUUCUCCAUUCUGAUUCUCCGCUCCAUGAACUGUUUUUAUGAAGCAGCACAAAACCAAUUAAAAAGGUUUGUGCAUCACAACUCAAUAUCUACUGUCCACUACUCCCAAAAGAUUUCUGGAAUAUGCUAUACUUCAAAGAUCCUUCUCCAUUAUGGUUCUCCGCUCCAUGAACUGUUUUUAUGAAGCAGCACAAAACCAAUAAAAAGGUUUGUGCGUCAAAACCCAAAAUCUACUGUCCACUACUAUGAAAAGAUUUCUGCAAUAUGCUACACUUCAAAGAUCCUUCUCCAUUAUAUGAUUGUCCGCUCCAUGAACCGUUUUAUGAAGCUGCACAAAAACAAUUAAAAAGUUUUGUGCAGAACAAGUCAAUAACUACUGUCCACUACUCCCAAAAGAUUUUUGCAAGUCGCCACACUUCAAACUUCCUUAUCCAUUAUGAUCCUUCGCUCUAUGAACCAUUUUUAUGAUGUGGCACAAAACCAAUUAAAAAGGUGUGUGCAUCAAAACUCAAUAACUACUGUCCACUACUCCCAAAAGGUUUCUGCAAUAGCUACAGUUGAAACUUAAUCAUCCAUUAAAUAAAUGAUGCUCCACUCUAUGAACUCCUUUUUAUGAAGAAGCACACAACCAAUAAAAAAGUGAAUACAAAACCAUUGUUCAAGUAUCUUCAGAAAAUGUCCCGGCAAAACUCUAAACUGAUGCAGGCAGUCAAUAGUCAAAGAUAUCACAAAUGCAUAACCACGAAAGUAACACGAUUCUAUAUGAAAUGUUGGAUGGAUGGCUUGUAUUAUAUUUAGCCUAUGUACAGCAAAUUUAGAUGCCAGCCAAAGGAGGAUGGCUUGCCCCUGCGGAGUCUGGUUCCUCCCAAGGUUUCUCCCUAUACCUCUUUGCUGAUGAUGCUACUCUUCACUAAUUUAGGGAGUUUUUCCUUGCCACUGUUGCCUUCUGGCUUGCUCACUGGGGUAUUAAGGCACAAUAUUUUCAAUGUAAAGUGUUUGUAAAGAAUAAUAAAUGCACAAUGAUUUAGAAUA